rnacentral:rRNA from 1 species
GAUCAUGGCUCAGGAUGAACGCUAGCGGCAGGCCUAACACAUGCAAGUCGAGGGGCAGCAUAAACAAGCUUGCUUGUUUGGUGGCGACCGGCGCACGGGUGCGUAACGCGUAUGCAACCUACCCUGUACUGGGGGAUAGCCCGGAGAAAUUCGGAUUAAGACCCCAUAGCACUUAAGAAUGGCAUCAUUCAUAAGUUAAAGGUUACGGUACAGGAUGGGCAUGCGUCCCAUUAGCUAGAUGGUAAGGUAACGGCUUACCAUGGCAACGAUGGGUAGGGGGCCUGAGAGGGUGGUCCCCCACACUGGUACUGAGACACGGACCAGACUCCUACGGGAGGCAGCAGUGAGGAAUAUUGGUCAAUGGGCGCAAGCCUGAACCAGCCAUGCCGCGUGCAGGAAGACGGUCCUAUGGAUUGUAAACUGCUUUUAUUUGGGAAUAAACCUAUUUACGUGUAGAUAGCUGAAGGUACCAAAUGAAUAAGCACCGGCUAACUCCGUG